rnacentral:rRNA from 1 species
GAUGAACGCUGGCGGCGUGCCUAAUACAUGCAAGUCGAGCGAACAGACGAGGAGCUUGCUCCUCUGACGUUAGCGGCGGACGGGUGAGUAACACGUGGAUAACCUACCUAUAAGACUGGGAUAACUUCGGGAAACCGGAGCUAAUACCGGAUAAUAUAUUGAACCGCAUGGUUCAAUAGUGAAAGACGGUUUUGCUGUCACUUAUAGAUGGAUCCGCGCCGCAUUAGCUAGUUGGUAAGGUAACGGCUUACCAAGGCAACGAUGCGUAGCCGACCUGAGAGGGUGAUUGGCCACACUGGAACUGAGACACGGUCCAGACUCCUACGGGAGGAAGCAGUAGGGAAUCUUCCGCAAUGGGCGAAAGACUGACGGAGCAACGCCGCGUGAGUGAUGAAGGUCUUCGGAUCGUAAAACUCUGUUAUUAGGGAAGAACAAAUGUGUAAGUAACUAUGAACGUCUUGACGGUACCGAAUCAGAAAGCCACGGCUAACUACGUG